AACACAAAGUUCUCUGGUCAGAUUAUUCUGUGGAACUUGACUCGUCAACAAAUAUUAACAUAACCAGAGGGAUGCAGCAAAUCGAGACAGCAGAUUAUGUUAAUGAGAGACCAAGAUGUGGACAGAAACGCAGUGGGGAUAAACAUCAAACAGAGAGAAGACUCUGUCAGCUACUUUUCCUCAGCUUUGGCCUGCUGUGUAUCAUACAAGCCACUCUCAAUAUUGCUCUACGCCUUACUUUAUACUCAAGCAACGAAUCAACCCCCUUGCACUGCAAUUCAACUCAUUCUAGUGACCAGAAGAAGUUGAAGGAGGAACAGGAUUGUGAGCAAAGAAGGAAUGAUCAGUACAACAGAUUGCAGGAAAAAUUCAAUGCCUUGGCCAAAGACAUAAGCGAGUGUGAAAACAGAAACACUGUCCUUAACAACAGGAUAAAGAACGUGCAGGAGGAGAUGGACAGACUGAAGGGUGAGAAAAAAAUCAAGCUAUGAAGAAGAAAGGAAGAGGAACUAUAAUUGAGGUUGAUGCCUUACAUUUCAACCUCCGUAAGCGCCUGUAUUAAAAUGUCCAACUUCAUGGCAGAAAUAAACAUGUUUACAGCCCGGUA